GACGAACGCUGGCGGCGUGCUUAACACAUGCGAGUCGAACGAUGAAGAAAAGAAUUGAAGCUUCGGCAGAAAUUCAUUUCGGAUUAGUGGCAGACGGGUGAGUAACGCGUGAGCAACCUACCUCUUACAAAGGGAUAGCCUCGGGAAACCGGGAUUAAUACCAUAUAACAUUGCGACGAAGCAUUUCGAUGCAAUCAAAGCUACGGCGGUAAGAGAUGGGCUCGCGUCCCAUUAACCAGAUGGUGAGGUAACGGCUCACCAUAGUAACGAUGGGUAACCGGCCUGAGAGGGUGAACGGUCACACUGGAACUGAGACACGGUCCAGACUCCUACGGGAGGCAGCAGUGGGGAAUAUUGCACAAUGGAGGGAACUCUGAUGCAGCGACGCCGCGUGAGUGAUGAAGGAAUUCGUUUCGUAAAACUCUGUUCUAUGGGAAGAAAAGGACUGUACCAUAGGAGAAAGCUCCGGCUAAAUACGUG
rnacentral:rRNA from 1 species